UACGUAGGGAGCAAGCGUUGUUCGGAUUUACUGGGCGUAAAGGGCGCGUAGGCGGCGCGGUAAGUCACUUGUGAAAUCUCUGAGCUUAACUCAGAACGGCCAAGUGAUACUGCAGUGCUAGAGUGCAGAAGGGGCAAUCGGAAUUCUUGGUGUAGCGGUGAAAUGCGUAGAUAUCAGGAGGAACACCUGUGGUGUAGACGGCUUACUGGACCAUGACUGACGCUGAGGCACGAAAGCGUGGGGAGCAAACAGG
rnacentral:rRNA from 1 species